AAAUAAGAAGCGAUAAAUUGCAAUCAGUUUCGACCUGAAUUACUUGAUGUUAAAUACAUCCUUAUUUA
rnacentral:tRNA from 1 species